rnacentral:lncRNA from 1 species
GAUGUCGAAAAUUGUUAAUUUCAAAUGAAUUCAAAGGAAAUGUGUGUACUUUAAAAAAAAUACCAGAUGGAACCAAUACCUUUAUCAUGAAACUCAAUGAUUACCUUACAAACAUUUAGAUUACACAAUCAUAGUCAACUUUAUCAGUAUAACAAACAAGGGAUGUAACCUUUUAAAUGGGACAAUAAAAUGCCCUCUUUAUAUUGUCUCCCAAAACUAUCUAUCCUUUUGCAUAGAUUUAUCAUGUAUUCAUAAAGGAAAUUGAUUUUCUAUGCUCUUUUUUGAUAAAUCAUACCGUUGAUUUUUUAUUCUGAAAUCAAUAAAUUUAAGUCUGUUGUAAGUUAAGACAGAAAAUCGUCACACAGGGUAUCCAGAUUCAAAACCGUGGAGGGAUAUGAAUCCCAAGGUGCAACUACUUUGGAUUGAUUAAUAUUUGUGAGAUACUAAUUUUUGUGAAUUUCCUGGAUUGAUGUGAAACAGGAAUUUCAAUACUCAACAAAGUGGGAAUUUCUAUAACCUUAUAUGCAGACAUUGGCAAAACUACCAAAAAUCAAAUAUCCACGAAAAACACAAUUUUCAACAAUCAUUGAAAAUUGGUAUCCACUAAAAUAAAAAAAUUUACAGUAAUGAAAACCAUGUAACUGUGAGUAAGUACAGUUUGAAUCCAUUCCCAUAUAAGAUUUGGAUUCAGGUUUUACCUAACCACUGUUAUAAACUUUUCAUUUUUUGCUCCUCACGAUUUCCAUACCUCUGAGAGAUUCUGAUUUGUAUACCUAGUGUAAUUUUAUUAAACAGCAUUUCAUAGGUCUACAUUCUUAUACAAUAAAUCGUGAGUUUUGAAGGGUUAUAGAGGAUUCCUUGAGUAAAUUGAUGAAAUUGACUAUAAUUAAUGUAAUGAUACAAAAACACUGUUCUGGUUAUAUAGUUAAUCUGACAGAGGAUCAUUUCAUAAUAUCCAAAUAUAGAUUUGUAAGCAUUUGUACAAAGCUAGUUUUUUAUGAUAAACCAGCUGUUAUUUCUUCUAACUUUUACUUUGAGAUUUUUAUAUUAAAUUCUAUCUUGAGAUUCUUGUUAAUCAUAAAUUGAGAUUCCUUUUAAUCUUGUUAAUCAAAAAUUGAGAUUCUUGUAACUCCUCCAUUGAGAUUCUUGUAACUCCUCCAUUGAGAUUCUUGUAACUCCUCCAUUGAGAUCCUUUAUAAAGUCCUAUAUUGAUUCAAUUUCAUUAAAUCACCUCUGUCAAGAUUUUUUAUUUUCAGUGCGAAAAACCUACUGAACUUUCUGCCAAAGUAAACUCUCUUUAGUUUACAUUAAUAACAAUUUGAUAAUAAUUUCAGGAGCAGGUUAAAUGCACUGAUUUUUAAUUUUUGUUUAAUUUUGGCAAUUUUUGCCUUUUUAAGAAAAGAAAGCAAUGGCAUUUGUGUCACAAUGGCAGAAAACACAUAUUUCUCUUUCAAUGUUUCUAAAACUAUACACAUAAGACAAAAAAUUGGUAAAAUAUACAUAAUAACAAUUUUUCUUCAAAAUUGCUUUGAUGUAUGAUAAUUAUCCAUCAAAAUCUACUCAAUAGAUUAUUUUCAUGUUACCAACUUUUGACUGCGGAUUAUAUAAUUUUUAGACAGGUAACCUUUUAUAUGGUAUGACAUCCUGAUACCAAGUCAAGUGCCAAGUCAAGGUAAAGAAGUAAAAUAAAGCUUUCAAUCGGUACAACUUUUGGGGAAAAUAAACUGCUUUACAUUUUCUUUACACAACAAAAUCUUUAGGAAACAGUAAACUUUCCCCUCAAAUUACACCUAUUAUAAGUUUGAUUUAAUUAUUUUGGUUGCUCUUACUUGACCGAGUACCAGAAUAUCCUGCAACAGAAACUGUGACCUGUUAAAAAAUUAUAUAAUCAGGAGUCAAAAGUGGGUAAUAAGAAAAUAGUCUAUUGUACAUUCUUUUUAACUAUGUACAAAAGUGACAGGAAUACCAUUGCUUUCCCCAGAACAGCGUUCAUAACAAAUUUUAUAUGUUGAUACAAAAAUAUGUUUUACAUUAACAAUUAUAUAUACAUUCCAACAUUAUAUAAAGAUAUAUACAGUAAUCUUCAAAAUUAAUAUCCCUAAACUUUAUAAAAAAAUAAUAAAUACAAUUCAAUAUAAAAACAAUGGAAGCUUUCACUACCUACUGUUAUCAGCUUAUACAUGUUAUAUAAGGAUAAAAGACUUAAUGAAAAACCUGAUGUCUGUAAACUAUCCCUCUAGCAAAUUUAAUGGAUACAAAUAAAACUGUCCAGAUACUAACAGGGAUGGAUCCUGCCAUUUUUAAAGGGGAGAUUCCCAACCAAGGAUAGAGGGGGUGGGGUCCAACCAUUCAUAUGUCCCCAUUCAAAUGCAUUGAUAUUCCAGAAAAAAAGGGGUUCUAACCCAAAGAAUUCCCUCCUGGAUCCUCCACUGCCUAACAAUGUCUAAGGGCUGUUCUGAAUUUAAACACAUGAGGGCAUUAGACCCUUACAACUUAUAAUAUCAAAUAUGCAUUUUACUGUUAACUUUGACAUGGUUCUAAUUAAAAUGCCACCAAUGACAAUUAACUAAUUUGAGGGCUUCCUGAUCUUUUCUGAAUUUAAAAUAACCAAAGAAAGUUUAUCAUUUAAAAAAAAUCUAAAAAUUAGUAUACAUUAUAUUUUUGAUUGAUUGAAUGAUUGAUGGGUGUUUAAUGCCACUUUCAUCUCUGGUGGUAAGUUUUCAAAUGAAAGAAGCACAAGUGCCCAGAGAAAACCACCAACCUUUGUAUUAUUGUUUGAAAAUUGGUACUAAUUUUGUUUCAAAUUAUCACUAAUAUUAUGAACGUUAAGGAAAUGUUGGAGUCUUAAGUAUUAUGAAAGAAUAUACUAUCCAUUUCAUGGAUGGAUUGACCCUGAUUUAUAAACUCAUGGAUUUUAUAUCUUUUGAGGUAAUAAUAAAAAGUAAAAAUAUAAUAUCACAAACACAAACUACAAUUAAAAAAACAUAGCUAAGUAACAAUAUUUACAUAAACAUCAAUAGAUCACAAUUAUAAUAUUAUCACUUAUUUCACUACUACAAAACAUCAAUUACAGAAAAAUAAAAGGCACAAAAUUUACAGCCUAGCAAGCUUUGAACAUAAUUCAUAUAUUUAAUUUUUCAUUUCAAAUAUCUAUUUUAUAACCAACUGAAUUGAUCAAUGGAAUUUAAAUUCUAUAUCUGA